rnacentral:rRNA from 1 species
UACCAGACUCCUACGGGAGGCAGCAGUGGGGGAUAUUGCGCAAUGGGGGGAACCCUGAUGCAGCGACGCCGCGUGGGUGAAGAAGCGCCUCGGCGCGUAAAGCCCUGUCAGCAGGGAAGAAAAUGACGGUACCUGACUAAGAAGCCCCGGCUAACUACGUGCCAGCAGCCGCGGUAAUGCGUAGGGGGCAAGCGUUAUCCGGAUUUACUGGGUGUAAAGGGAGCGUAGACGGCGAUGCAAGUCUGAAGUGAAAGGCGGGGGCCCAACCCCCGGACUGCUUUGGAAACUGUAUGGCUGGAGUGCAGGAGAGGUAAGUGGAAUUCCUAGUGUAGCGGUGAAAUGCGUAGAUAUUAGGAGGAACACCAGUGGCGAAGGCGGCUUGCUGGACAGAGACUGACGUUGAGGCUCGAAAGCGUGGGGAGCAAACAGGAUUAGAUACCCGGGUACA